UAACUACGUGCCAGCAGCCGCGGUAAUACGUAGGUGGCGAGCGUUAUCCGGAAUGAUUGGGCGUAAAGGGUGCGUAGGUGGCAGAUCAAGUCUGGAGUAAAAGGUAUGGGCUCAACCCGUACUGGCUCUGGAAACUGAUCAGCUAGAGAACAGAAGAGGACGGCGGAACUCCAUGUGUAGCGGUAAAAUGCGUAGAUAUAUGGAAGAACACCGGUGGCGAAGGCGGCCGUCUGGUCUGGAUACUGACACUGAAGCACGAAAGCGUGGGGAGCAAAUAGGAUUAGAUACCCUAGUAGUCCACGCCGUAAACGAUGAGAACUAGGUGUUGGGGGAAUAACUCAGUGCCGCAGUUAACGCAAUAAGUUCUCCGCCUGGGGAGUAUGCACGCAAGUGUGAAACUCAAAGGAAUUGACGGGGGCCCGCACAAGCGGUGGAGUAUGUGGUUUAAUUCGAAGCAACGCGAAGAACCUUACCAGGCCUUGACAUCCCUUGCAGAGGUAUAGAGAUAUAUCCGAGGUUAUCAAGGAGACAGGUGGUGCAUGGUUGUCGUCAGCUCGUGUCGUGAGAUGUUGGGUUAAGUCCCGCAACGAGCGCAACCCUUGUCUUCAGUUACUAUCAUUAAGUUGGGGACUCUGGAGAGACUGCCGGUGAUAAACCGGAGGAAGGUGGGGAUGACGUCAAAUCAUCAUGCCCCUUAUGGCCUGGGCUACACACGUACUACAAUGGCGUCUACAAAGAGCGGCAAGCCUGUGAAGGCAAGCGAAUCUCAUAAAGGACGUCUCAGUUCGGAUUGAAGUCUGCAACCCGACUUCAUGAAGCUGGAAUCGCUAGUAAUCGCGAAUCAGCAUGUCGCGGUGAAUACGUUCUCGGGCCUUGUACACACCGCCCGUCAAACCAUGGGAGUUGGUAAUGCCCGAAGCCGGUGGCAUAACCUUUCGAGGAGUGAGCCGUCGAAGGCAGGACCGAUGACUGGGGUUAAGUCGUAACAAGGUAUCCCUACGGGAACGUGGGGAUG
rnacentral:rRNA from 1 species